AAUGUGUUGGAUAUAGACUUUCCUUCACCAUAAUUAUAACCUUUAAAAAUUUACCAGUAUUUUAGUAUAUAAUAUUUUUAUGAAAUUUUCCUGGUAAAAAUUUUUCCUUGAUAAACAGCUGAUUUUACAGAGUGUAGUUGUUAGAAAUUGACAUCAUAGAAAAAAACACAGAACUGUCAUAAAAAUCUGCCUAUAUUUAGUUUGUUUCUACUUCUGAAGUACUCCUAGUUGUUGUAGCUUACGUAAUUAAAGGAAAGCAUAUUAACAAAGGCUACAGCUUGCAAAUUCAAAGCAGGUUAUUAUUAUUUAUUCUGCUCCCAGCGAUUGCACACAUUUGACCCUAAAUGACAAAGUAAAUGAAAGCCCUUUUUCAAAGUAAUACAAUCAGUUCAAAAAAUAUUGUGCUAAUAAAGUUAUACAUUCUAAUUGAAAGAUUGAUGGCAAUCCAUUUAGUUGUUACUAGGUUAUUUGUGACAGACAGAUGCAGAGUAACCUCAUUACAGUCAGAAUUGUGAUGACUUGUAGCUGAAGAGAGGAAUAAAGCUUUAAACCAUUGUCACAGUCCAUUUCCAAAAUGUAUGCGGAAG
rnacentral:lncRNA from 1 species